rnacentral:rRNA from 1 species
UGGGGAAUAUUGGACAAUGGGCGAAAGCCUGAUCCAGCCAUGCCGCGUGUGUGAAGAAGGUCUUCGGAUUGUAAAGCACUUUAAGUUGGGAGGAAGGGCAUUAACCUAAUACGUUAGUGUUUUGACGUUACCGACAGAAUAAGCACCGGCUAACUCUGUGCCAGCAGCCGCGGUAAUACAGAGGGUGCAAGCGUUAAUCGGAAUUACUGGGCGUAAAGCGCGCGUAGGUGGUUUGUUAAGUUGGAUGUGAAAACCCCGGGGUCAACCUGGGAACUGCAUUCAAAACUGACUGACUAGAGUAUGGUAGAGGGUGGUGGAAUUUCCUGUGUAGCGGUGAAAUGCGUAGAGAUAGGAAGGAACACCAGUGGCGAAGGCGACCACCUGGACUAAUACUGACACUGAGGUGCGAAAGCGUGGGGAGCAGACA